CGGAGGAUGCAAGCGUUAUCCGGAUUUAUUGGGUUUAAAGGGUGCGUAGGCGGAUAAAUAAGUCAGUGGUGAAAGCCUGCAGCUUAACUGUAGAAUUGCCAUUGAUACUGUUUAUCUUGAGUACAGCUGAGGUGGGCGGAAUAUGACAUGUAGCGGUGAAAUGCUUAGAUAUGUCAUAGAACACCGAUUGCGAAGGCAGCUCACUAAACUGUCACUGACGCUGAGGCACGAAAGCGUGGGGAGCAAACAGGAUUAGAUACCCUGGUAGUCCACGCCCUAAACUAUGAUCACUCGAUGUUGGCGAUACACUGUCAGCGUCUAAGGGAAACCAUUAAGUGAUCCACCUGGGGAGUACGGUCGCAAGACUG
rnacentral:rRNA from 1 species